rnacentral:rRNA from 1 species
UACGUAGGGGGCAAGCGUUGUCCGGAUUUAUUGGGCGUAAAGAGCGUGUAGGCGGCCUGACAAGUCUGCUGUGAAAACUCGAGGCUCAACCUCGAGAUGUCGGCGGAAACUGUCUGGCUAGAGUCCGGAAGAGGAGAGUGGAAUUCCUGGUGUAGCGGUGAAAUGCGUAGAUAUCUGGAGGAACACCGGUGGCGAAGGCGGCAUCCUGGACCGAUAUUGACGCUGAUGCGCGAAAGCCAGGGGAGCAAACGGG